UAUUAAAAUCCCAUGAUUUGCCAUGGGGUCUCCAACUGCAUGCCAGGGUAACUGGAGAGACUUUGACAGCCCUGGCCAGCACAGUGCCUGCAGCUGCCACUCGACUUUCCUAUAUAU